rnacentral:rRNA from 1 species
UACGUAGGGUGCAAGCGUUGUCCGGAAUUACUGGGCGUAAAGGGCCAGUAGGCGGCCAACUAAGUCCGACGUGAAAUCCCAAGGCUUAACCUUGGAACUGCGUCGGAUACUGGAUGGCUUGAAUUCGGGAGAGGGAUGCAGAAUUCCAGGUGUAGCGGUGAAAUGCGUAGAUAUCUGGAGGAAUACCGGUGGCGAAGGCGGCAUCCUGGACCGACAUUGACGCUGAACGGCGAAAGCUAGGGGAGCAAACGGG